UACAGAGACUGCAAGCGUUAUUCGGAUUCACUGGGCGUAAAGGGUGCGCAGGCGGCCGUGUGUGUAAGGUGUGAAAUCCCGGGGCUCAACCCCGGAACUGCGCCUUAAACUACAUGGCUAGAGUACUGGAGAGGGUAGCGGAAUUCACGGUGUAGCAGUGAAAUGCGUAGAUAUCGUGAGGAACACCAGAGGCGAAGGCGGCUACCUGGACAGUUACUGACGCUCAGGCACGAAAGCGUGGGGAGCAAACGGG
rnacentral:rRNA from 1 species